UGUGUGUGUGUGUGACAGAGAGAGAGAGAGAGAGAGAAAUUAGUUGCCUAAUGAAUUUCUGGUUCCUGAGACCCAGUUUAGAUACCCUGCAGUGUGUUUCCACUAUAUUCUCCUAUUAAUAAUUCCUUUUUCACUUGGACAUCUUUGAGUGAGUUUCUCUGGUUUGUAGCCGGAUGGGCCCUUGCUAAGUUAUUACCCAUGGCAUAUAGGGUACUCAACUAUGAUUGCGUUUGCUGAAAUAUGACAAUAGUCACCUAAUCAACCAGUGUUUAGAACACCUCCUAGGUAGGUGUGAUAGGCAGGGGGCUGAGCCAUAGUCCUUGAUCUAAAGAUGGUUUUGUGUAUCAUUCACGUGAAAGCUAGGUUUGGGAAGUAAGAUUGACACAGACAAAACCAGGAACAAAUGCAUUGACAUGACAAAAUCAAGGGUUCGGCUGGGUGAGCUAAUUCUAAGGGCAUUGUGAGUCCAGACAAGGGAGUAUAAGGAUUUCUUCAGGGAAGUAAAGCACUUAAAUUUCAUCUUGAAAGGACCGUCAGGAUUUGAAUGGAUUGAAAUGAGUGGGGAGGCUUGGGGAAGAGAUGGUUGCCAAAUGGGGAGGACUGGCAGCUACUGGGGAGCUGCGGAUGCACAGGAAGGGCAGUGAAGGGCGUGCAGAGCACGAGGAGAGGGUUACCGGAAUGUGGCCUGCCCAGACAUUGGAGGAAGCCUCAUCCAGGUUUUUAAAAUUGCUCCUUUACCCUCUCAUCUGCGAUUCCUUCUUUAGCCA